rnacentral:rRNA from 1 species
UACGUAGGUGGCAAGCGUUGUCCGGAUUUACUGGGCGUAAAGCGUGUGUAGGCGGAUUUUUAAGUAGGAAGUGAAAGGUUGGUGCUCAACACUAACACUGCUCCCUAUACUGGAAGUCUUGAAGGCCGGAGAGGAAAGCGGAACGAGUCGUGUAGCGGUGAAAUGCGUUGAUAUGACUCGGGAACACCAAUUGCGAAGGCAGCUUUCUGGACGGUGGGUUUAACCCUUAAUUUUGACGCUGAGACACGAAAGCCGAGGGAGCGAACAGG